GUGGGGAAUCUUGCGCAAUGGGCGAAAGCCUGACGCAGCCAUGCCGCGUGAAUGAUGAAGGUCUUAGGAUUGUAAAAUUCUUUCACCGGGGACGAUAAUGACGGUACCCGGAGAAGAAGCCCCGGCUAACUUCGUGCCAGCAGCCGCGGUAAUACGAAGGGGGCUAGCGUUGCUCGGAAUUACUGGGCGUAAAGGGCGCGUAGGCGGCCAGUUUAGUCAGAGGUGAAAGCCCAGGGCUCAACCUUGGAAUUGCCUUUGAUACUGGCUGUCUUGAGUACGGGAGAGGUGAGUGGAACUCCGAGUGUAGAGGUGAAAUUCGUAGAUAUUCGGAAGAACACCAGUGGCGAAGGCGACUCACUGGCCCGUUACUGACGCUGAGGCGCGAAAGCGUGGGGAGCAAACAGGAUUAGAAACCCGUGUAGUCC
rnacentral:rRNA from 1 species